ACCUUUUUAUCAGCACAACUUUACAUGUCGCCAAUUCCGUGUUGGGAUGGCAGUAAAUUAGUGACUAUAGACACCAAUCUCAGAAACGACAGAAGUCGCCAUGCCAAUUUCAUGGGUUUGAUUCGAGCAACUUCGACUUCGUUCAAAUUGUUAAACUAAUAUGGCUAUAAUUUCAAUUUGACAAUUGACAUAGUGUGUCUUGUAUAUCCUAUGGUUAUAUGACAGCAUUAAAGCCCAGAAACUUGUCAAACAUCAAAGCAACAACCACCAACUAGAGUUACUAGACCAUCCAAAAACACCCGUGCAUUAUUUAAUC